rnacentral:rRNA from 1 species
GUUUGAUCAUGGCUCAGGAUGAACGCUAGCGGCAGGCCUAAUACAUGCAAGACGAACGGUAACUGGAGUAGCAAUACUUCGGCUAGAGUGUCGUAAGGGUGCGUAACAAGUAUGCAAUCUGCCCUGUACAGGAGAAUAGCUCCCCGAAAGGGGAAUUAACACUCCAUAAGAUCACGCGAGGGCAUCCGAGAGUGAUUAAAACUGAGGUGGUACAGGAUGAGCAUGCUUCUGAUUAGCUAGUUGGUAGUGUAACGGACUACCAAGGCGAUGAUCAGUAGGGGAACUGAGAGGUUGAUCCCCCACACUGGCACUGAGAUACGGGCCAGACUCCUACGGGAGGCAGCAGUAGGGAAUAUUGGUCAAUGGGUGAGAGCCUGAACCAGCCAUGCCGCGUGCAGGAAGACGGCCUUCUGGGUUGUAAACUGCUUUUGUCAGGGGAUAAAAUUUCCUUGCGAGGAAAAUUGAAGGUACCUGGCGAAUAAGCCACGGCUAACUACGUGCCAGCAGCCGCGGUAAUACGUAGGUGGCAAGCGUUGUCCGGAUUUAUUGGGUUUAAAGGGUGCGUAGGCGGCCUUGUAAGUCAGUGCUGAAAUAUCCCGGCUUAACCGGGAGGGUGGCAUUGAUACUGCAGGGCUUGAGUGGAGUCGAGGUAGGCGGAAUUGACGGUGUAGCGGUGAAAUGCUUAGAUAUCGUCAAGAACACCGAUAGUGUAGACAGCUUACUAGGCUUCAACUGACGCUGAGGCACGAAAGUGUGGGGAUCAAACAGGAUUAGAUACCCUGGUAGUCCACACUGUAAACGUUGAUUACUCGCUGUUGGCGAUACACAGUCAGCGGCUUAGCGCAAGCGAUAAGUAAUCCACCUGGGGAGUACGCCGGCA